AAAGAGUGAGGCCUGUGGUUUCAAGCAGAGGCACCAAUGAUACCAUUGAGGUGACAUGGACCUCUCCAUCUGGCAAUGUAGAACAAUACAUGGUCAACUUGAUCAGUGAUAAUGGAGAAAACCAAACAAAGGUUCUUAACUCCAGCUUUGAGUCACACUCAUUCAUUGGACUGACAGCUGGGAGAAACUACACAGUCGUAGUGACCACAAUCAGUGGACCCUUUGCUGAAGAAUCAGAGCCUGUUUCCAAUGCAACCUAUCCCAAUCCACCUGGAGCUAUUCUUGUAGAAGAGCAGACCACUGAUUUCAUUACUAUAAGUUGGGGUUUGCCCCAAGACAUGGACUUGGGCCAGUACAGUUUCAUCAUAGUCUAUCAAACUAAUGAAACCCAGACCGCAAACAAUAUGAUGACAUUGAAGAACUUGACAUCAGGGACUCUGUACAGCAUCUCUGUGGUAACCGUAGGGCCAAUGGGCUACCAGAGCACUCCAGUGACGGCAGAAAUCUCCACCAAGCCUGAAAGAGUGAGGCCUGUGGUUUCAAGCAGAGGCACCAAUGAUACCAUUGAGGUGACAUGGACCUCUCCAUCUGGCAAUGUAGAACAAUACAU